UUAAAUCAAAUUUGUACGGGAUUGGAACGUUUGCCUACGUUUGCCGCUAGGGGCGCUGUUCCAACUGCAUACUAAUUUGAGUUA
rfam:Bombyx mori DNA, contig: Bm_scaf4_contig3662, strain: p50T/Dazao, build 2, whole genome shotgun sequence.